GAUGCACUAAUUGGGGCUCUGGUGAUGUCGAUUCUAAAGCAAUGAAGCUUCUGUGGUUUGUGAUUGGAGCCCCAGGUCAGGUCUGAGGCCCUCGCCGUUGCAUCCCUUUGGGUUGCUGAGAUUCCUGAGUGCCAUGUGGGCUGCAGUGGCUGCAGAGACCUGGGGGAAUGGUGGCAGUUGUGAAAGUUAAUAGGCCCAUUUCUGCCCUUGGCAGUGGCUGAAUUGCAACUCCUGUCACGUGCUUGAGUCUUGGAGGUCGCCAUGGACUAUGCUGGGUCCUAGGCCUGCAUUCCUCCUGCAGGUUGGCCAGAGGCCCAGAGAAGAAUGUUUGUGCAGGUCUUCUGAAGUCUUCCUGAAAGCAUCCCUGGUGAUCUGUGAGCCCUUGGUCGUGUUGCCCGCCUUCUUCCUGUGGGUCUUGCUGGAUGCUCAAUGUCCCUUUGUGGAGCAGAAGACCUGGUGGCUUCUGAUGUGGGUGAGUCACACUGGGGGUGGAUGGAAGAGUUCAAUUUGUAGGAGUUUUUCCUGGGUAUGGUUGGUUCCAGGGCCCUGGCAGGCUGUGGAUCUGAGCAUUAUCUGGCCGGCAAAGGGGCCCAGUUUCUGUGGGAGUGACCCCUGGAUCCUGGUACCUGAGGAAGACCAGGUCCCAUCUUGCACUUCCAGUGGAGCCUCGGAGAGUGGAUUAGCUCACUGGGCAGGAAGAGGCUCAUGCCCUGAAUUAUUUUGCCCUUUUAAGGAAUGGUGGGCCCAUAUCUGCCCCUGGGUCAUGUUCCCAAUACUUUUGACCUUCUUUGGGAAAGUUUCCUUGAUCCAGGAGGAGGUGGGUCUUGUCACCAUGGACACCUGAGCUGUAGUUUUAGCUGACAUGUCUCAUGGUACAUGCAUUCACACAGUUGCUCUGCCAGGCGACCUUGGGCAGUCAGGUUUAUGUUCAUAGUGAGAGGGGCAUGGGUCGAAGAGAUCAUGAGCCCAUGCCCUAUUUCAACAGCCCCUCAGGAUGAAAUUUUGCAUGGAGCUUGGUGGACAGUGGCAAGGCAUCAUCUGCCAUUUUGUUUGGACAGCAGAAAGUCAGGUUUCUGUGGUGAAGGCACACGUGUUAAGACACCAAGGCCUUGGAGUGGGACUCUGAGUCCUGGAGACACCUGGAAGGAGUUUCAGAGGCACACCCAGAGUCUUGAGGCACAUUCUUCUUGGUACACUGGAACAACACACACACAGACCCAUAUCAAAUCCCCUGCCACACACACAUACUUCAGACGACAGACACCGAUAGGAACUUUAAGAUAAUUUCCUACCUUUUUGCUAUAGAUACGUAUCCAGUCAUACAUGAGGGAUCGAGGUAGUUCAGAAGCAGAUGCAGGCUUUACCUCAGGGAACCAUGGACACCGAUAUUAUUCAUGUGAGAACCCGGGUGCACAUUUGAAGCAUGCUUGUGCUUUCUGUCCACUUGUCAGGUGAAGUUGCCACGUAUGACUGUCCAUCAGCCAGGAGAUGAACCCCCACCCGUGAGGCAGUGACUCAAGGUGCAAGGGUCCGGCAAGAAGUGUGGCGCACCCGAGUUGCUGCCACUGCUUUUUGGAUCACCCAGCACGGUACGGCUUCUCCUGCCCCAAGACGUGUCGUGAAUUUCAGGUUUCCUGGGACUGCCUGAGUGGUUGUUCGUAUAGAGGGACCGUUCCUCUUGCUGAGAAGCCUGAGGGCUCUGAGUUCCCUGGCUGCUGGAGGACUCCCGGGUCACUGGCUCCUCCUGGGAGCAGCCCUUCCUGCCGUGAGGAGGUGGGCAGCAAGCCAGCACGUGCUCGGAUCGAUGAUGACACCCUCACAUGCAUUCCUUGGAAAAUCUGAAC
ensembl:lncRNA